GACAGAGGGUGCAAACGUUGUUCGGAAUUACUGGGCGUAAAGCGCGUGUAGGCGGCUUGGCAAGUCGGGUGUGAAAGCCCUGGGCUCAACCUAGGAAGUGCACUCGAAACUGCUUCGCUUGAGUGUCGGAGAGGAAAGCGGAAUUCUCGGUGUAGAGGUGAAAUUCGUAGAUAUCGAGAGGAACACCGGUGGCGAAGGCGGCUUCUGGACGAUAACUGACGCUGAGACGCGAAAGCGUGGGGAGCAAACAGG
rnacentral:rRNA from 1 species